AACUCCUGUUCUCUCUCUCUUUCAUCAUCGGCUUCUUCAAUUCUUCCAGGGCAAGGCAAAGGAUAAAUGGAGUUUUUAAGGAAGGCAGAUACUUAUUUUGCUGCUUUCUGUGCUAUUCCUCAUGCUUGCUUUGUGUUUGUGUGCUGUUUUGGGUGUGCCUGGGCACAGCCAGCCCAGGGCAGGAGUGACAACAACCCCCUGCCCCAGCACCGGGUCCGGCUGUUAAAACAUGGGAUGGAACCUCCCUGGGAUUUGUGCCCCACGUGCUCCCUCCUGCUCUGCUGUGGGACUGGGACUGUGGACCUUGGAAAUACAUCAGCUUCGGCUCGUUCCCAAACAAAGCAGGCAGUGAUUGAGCCUGGGUUUAUUGCUUCCACAACCCAAAUUACAGCUAUUAUCCACAUCUACAACCUGCAAUUAUCCCCAGCCUGCCUAUUUCAUCUCUUUAUCGAGACAUUCUCUGUGCUGAUGGAAGGUGACAGACUGGCAGCCACAGAGAGCAGCAUCUUCUCCCUGAGCAGCAGCUGCAGAGGGAGGGAGCAGGAGAUGCAGCUCCGUGUUGUUCCCCAGCAUCCAGGGACAGGGAACAUCAGGCUGCUGAGAGGUGGCCUCAGUGCUGCACCUCAGCUGUUCCUCCAAGGAUCAGCUCUCCCUGAUUCUUCUGCCUUAUCCUGCCC
rnacentral:lncRNA from 1 species